rnacentral:misc_RNA from 1 species
GAUGAAGAACGUAGCAAAAUGCGAUAAGUAAUGUGAAUUGCAGAAUUCAGUGAAUCAUCGAAUCUUUGAACGCACAUUGAGCCCGCUGGUAUUCCGGCGGGCAUGCCUGUUCGAGCGUCAUUUCAACCCUCAAGCCCCCGGGUUUGGUGUUGGGGAUCGGCUCUGCCCUUCUGGGCGGUGCCGCCCCCGAAAUACAUUGGCGGUCUCGCUGCAGCCUCCAUUGCGUAGUAGCUAACACCUCGCAACUGGAACGCGGCGCGGCCAUGCCGUAAAACCCCAACUUCUGAAUGUUGACCUCGGAUCAGGUAGGAAUACCCGCUGAACUUAAGCAUAUCAAUAAGCGGAGA